rnacentral:rRNA from 1 species
UUCCGGUUGAUCCUGCCGGCGGACAUUGCUAUUGGGAUUCGAUUUAGCCAUGCUAGUUGUACUAACUUAGAUUCGUAGCAGAUAGCUCAGUAACACGUGGCCAAGCUACCCUUCAGACUACGAUACCCUCGGGAAACUGAGACUAAUAGUAGAUACGGUACGCACGCUGGAAUGCAGCGUACUCCAAACGUUCCGACGCUGAAGGAUGCGGCUGCGGCCGAUUAGGUAGACGGUGGGGUAACGGCCCACCGUGCCAAUAAUUGGUACGGGUGAUGAGAGUCAGAGCCCGGAGACGGAAUCUGAGACAAGAUUCCGGGCCCUACGGGGCGCAGCAGGCGCGAAACCUUUACACUGCACGGAAGUGCGAUAGGGGAAUCCCAAGUGCGAGGGCAUAUUAGCCCUCGCUUUUGUUGACUGUAAGGAGGUCAACGAAUAAGAGCUGGGCAAGACCGGUGCCAGCCGCCGCGGUAAUACCGGCAGCUCGAGUGAUGUCCCAUUUUAUUGGGCCUAAAGCGUCCGUAGCUGGCCAGCCAAGUUCGUCGGGAAAUCCACCUGCCCAACAGGUGGGCGUCCGGCGAAAACUGUCUGGCUUGGAACCGGAAGGCUCAGAGGGUACGUCUGGGGUAGGAGUGAAAUCCUGUAAUCCCAGACGGACCA